rnacentral:rRNA from 1 species
CAGUCGCCACGGGAAUACGGAGGGUGCAAGCGUUAAUCGGAAUUACUGGGCGUAAAGCGCACGCAGGCGGUUUGUUAAGUCAGAUGUGAAAUCCCCGAGCUUAACUUGGGAACUGCAUUUGAAACUGGCAAGCUAGAGUCUUGUAGAGGGGGGUAGAAUUCCAGGUGUAGCGGUGAAAUGCGUAGAGAUCUGGAGGAAUACCGGUGGCGAAGGCGGCCCCCUGGACAAAGACUGACGCUCAGGUGCGAAAGCGUGGGGAGCAAACAGGAUUAGAUACCCACGUAGUCCCUGUCUCUUAUAC